rnacentral:rRNA from 1 species
AGGGGCAGCAUGGGAGUAGCAAUACUUCUGAUGGCGACCGGCGCACGGGUGCGUAACGCGUAUGCAACCUACCUGUAACAGGGGGAUAACACUGAGAAAUCGGUACUAAUACCGCAUAACACUAUGAGAGGCAUCUCUUGUGGUUGAAAGUUUCGGCGGUUACAGAUGGGCAUGCGUUGUAUUAGCUGGUUGGUAAGGUAACGGCUUACCAAGGCGACGAUACAUAGGGGGACUGAGAGGUUAACCCCCCACAUUGGUACUGAGACACGGACCAAACUCCUACGGGAGGCAGCAGUGAGGAAUAUUGGUCAAUGGACGGAAGUCUGAACCAGCCAUGCCGCGUGCAGGAAGACGGCUCUAUGAGUUGUAAACUGCUUUUGUACAAGGGUAAACCUGAAUACGUGUAUUCAGCUGAAAGUACUGUACGAAUAAGGAUCGGCUAACUCCGUGCCAGCAGCCGCGGUAAUACGGAGGAUCCAAGCGUUAUCCGGAUUUAUUGGGUUUAAAGGGUGCGUAGGCGGAUUGAUAAGUUAGAGGUGAAAUGUCCGAGCUUAACUCGGGAACUGCCUCUAAUACUGUUGAUCUAGAGAGUAGAUGCGGUAGGCGGAAUGUAUGGUGUAGCGGUGAAAUGCUUAGAGAUCAUACAGAACACCGAUUGCGAAGGCAGCUUACCAAUCUAUAUCUGACGUUGAGGCACGAAAGCGUGGGGAGCAAACAGGAUUAGAUACCCUGGUAGUCCACGCAGUAUACGAUGAUAGCUCGUUGUCGGCGAUACACAGUCGGUGACU